AUGGAACAAUGUAGGCAAGGGAAGUCGGCAAAACGGAUCCGUAACUUCGGGAAAAGGAUUGGCUCUGAGGACUGGGCUCGGGGGUCCCGGCCCCGAACCCGUCGGCUGUCGGCGGAUUGCUCGAGCUGCUCACGUGGCGAGAGCGGGUCGCCGCGUGCCGGCCGGGGGACGGACCGGGAAUCGCCCCUUCGGGGGCUUUCCCCGAGCAUGAAACAGUCGACUCAGAACUAGUACGAACAAGGGGAAUCCGACUGUUUAAUUAAAACAAAGCAUUGCGAUGGUCCUCGCGGAUGCUGA
rnacentral:rRNA from 1 species